CGGCGGACGGGUGAGUAACACGUGGGUAACCUACCUAUAAGACUGGGACAACUUCGGGAAACCGGAGCUAAUACCGGAUAAGAUAUCGAACCGCAUGGUUCGAUAGUGAAAGAUGGUUUUGCUAUCACUUAUAGAUGGACCCGCGCCGUAUUAGCUAGUUGGUGAGGUAACGGCUCGCCAAGGCAACGAUACGUAGCCGACCUGAGAGGGUGAUCGGCCACACUGGAACUGAGACACGGUCCAGACUCCUACGGGAGGCAGCAGUG
rnacentral:rRNA from 1 species